ACACGCUUCCGCGUGAACGGGCCGUGUCUGAGGCUCGUCCAAGCUGCAGCGUGGGACACACGCGUGUGCGCCCCAUUCACAGGUGGGGUCAGCCCGAGGGUCCGUCCGCGUGUCCGCGGCAGGUAAACAGGUGGCCAUGUGCACGAGCGAUGGGCUAUUACUCUCCCGGGACAGGGAUGACGUUUCAAAGAGGCAGAAAGUAGGUGGUGGUUUCCAGGGUUGGGGGUGGGAGGGGGGUUCAUGUUUAGUGGGGACGGAAAGCUCUGGAGACAGCUGGGGGUGGACGUCCCCGAUGUCGCGGGCCCGGGCGUUUACAAACAGUGGCGACGGUGAAUUUAGUGACGCGUGAUCUCCCGAAACAAGCAAGAGGGGGUGGUGAGCGGGUACGUGCUUCAUGGGCGAGUCCUGCAAACAGGAUGCCCGCUUCCCCGCCUCCCCCCGCCCCUGCAACCCGCUUUUGUUUCAUGUGUUGUUAUGAUAAAGAGUAAGCUUUUAACACAACGUCCUUCAGAACAACUUCAGGAAAUACCCGUGGGAGAAUCUGAUUUAUUAACUUCAUAGCUGCAUGUGGCCAAGGUGGGGCACCUGGAUCCGUAGAGCUUCUGGAGUUCCAGUUCUGCGGGAUGGCCGGGGUCCUGGGACGGACGGUGGCCGCGCGACACGGGGAGCGUGCUCAAUGCCACCCAAUGGUAAGUUCCAUGUGCGUUUUACUACAACUCUAAAGAGCAGGGGAUUUCACGAAGCUCCCUCCACGGCUGCCAAGGGGCAGGGACGGACACUGGGUCUCCGGGCCCGGGAAUGGUCCCGAUGGCCAGAACGAGGCCAGGGUGCGGGGAGCACCCGGGCAGGAGUCCAGGCGCCAGGCUCCGGACAAGUCCUUUUCAACUCACCGGUUCUUUCCAGCUCUAAACGCACAGCUUCUACUUCUCCGAUGCUGAGUGUGUAUCCGAGGUCUCGGAUACCAAGAGCAGCCUCGCAGAGGAAGAGCGCUCCUGGCCGUGCGUCGGAUCUGGGGCAGAUGUGCCUGGUGCCAGGAGGUGCCCGGGGUGCUCCCCGCCCGCAGAGACAGUAAUGGUUUGUGACUCUGAGCUCACCGGAAGGUCAGCUGGGUCAAAGAGGGAGCUCGAGCGUUUGUUUAAACCUCGGUCCAAGAUUCUCCCCACUUGCGGCUGGAAGGUGAUGAGUUCUGAGCCGCACCAGAGUCGGACGCCCUGAGUCUGACACCACCUGCUCUUUGAAGAGAAACCCAUGCGUGUUAAUCACUAGGAAGGAAAAAGAAAUGCCAAGCACCACGGUUCACUUGGCAAAUGUUUGCCAGGCACGGCGGCCUGCCAGGCAGCGUCCUGGCCGCUGGGGGUAAAACAGAGGUAAACAGAAGGGUCGGGUCCCUGGCCUCAAGGGGUUUGCCCGCUGGUGGGCGUUCUGCCCAUGAACCUGAGCCAAAAAGCCAGGGAAGGAAAGACGUGAAGAGCGUUGGGAGUGCUGCUUUGGGAAGGGCAAUCAGGAGGGUCUCCUGGAGGCGGUGAUGUGCGAGCCAAAGCCUGAACUGCUAGCAAAUGGAAGUAGCUGCUGAAAGAGCCCCGUGUGGGGAGCACGGGCAUCAGCACCUUCGGGGGAGGUCCUGGGGGCAGAGGUUAGAGACAGAGCUCCGCGAGGCUGGGCAACCAGCCCAGAGUCUUCACGGGAGCCCAGAGCUCGCUCUCAUCGGCUCUGCUCUAUCCACUCGGCCCUGCUAAGUUUAGGUUGGAUUUAGGAAUGAGCAUCGGCCCCUGCCUCAUGCCCGCUUCUCUCCAGCCACCCGCCUACCCCUUCAGUGCGCCCACUCGGUCCUCUGGGCGAGCCUUGCCCCCACCUAGGGGCCCUCCCUCCAGCUCCCUGUGUCCCUCUGUCUCGGGGCCUCAGCUCCAGGGUCUCCUCCUCAGGAAGGCCUCCCUGACUACCCACCCAGACAUCCCUCUUGAGGCCAGGACUCUGCUGGGGUCUCCCCAGAGCAAUUCGGCCUCCCCAUGAGCAUCCUCUGCCCCCAGGAGAAUGUGGGCCAUUUGGGAGAGAGGGCUGGUCCAGGACACCACCUCUGUCCACAUGUGCAAACCCCAGAACAGAACCUGGCACACCACCACGCAGCCGGGACCGAUUUGCUGGGCGGGAGGCUCAGGUUGGGGGACGGAGUCAGGGAGGGCUGGUUUUGAAGGAUGAAUAGGAGUUCUCCAGGGAGACCAACAGAGAUGGCAUUUCUAGAGAGGGGCUACUACAUCUGGACAAGCCAGGGGUGGUGAACCACCACUGAUCACCGGCAAGUGCAUCCGAUGAUGGGUUAUUGGUGUGGAGCAGGUAGCUGGGGAGGUCGGACGGAGAGAUCACUUGCCAGGAGCCUCUGGGCGAGGCCGGAAAGCCCGGGGCUCGGGGCUGAUGCUGCAGGGGACCUGGGGGCAGCGGAAGGGUCUUACACAGACAAGAGACAGGGGGUCGGGUGUGGGUGGAAAAGGCUGCAUGGGGGGCAGUGUGAAGGACCGACUAGCAGGAGACCCUGGUCCCAUGAGGGCUAUUUAUUCUCGGUCAGGGCAAGAAAUGGUGUGGUUGCUGGUGAUGGUGGACCAAGGAAGGGGAUCCCAGAGAUGUUUGGGGGCAAAAGGACGGCAUGUGGAGCUCAAACAUGCAGGUGUUUCUGGCUUAGGGGCCAGCAGCCACGUCUGAGCUGGGAGCCUGGGGCGGCCAAGCUUGAGCAAAGGUGACGCACAUCAGUCUGAGGGUUGGGGUUCAUCUUGGGGACGGGCAUCCGGGAGAUAAGAGGACACUUGGGGGCGCACCCCUCGGGCUCCUGCAUGGUGUGGCCGGACUGGAAGACGGAUCUGAAAGCCAGUGGGGCAAUGAGGUGCUGGCCAAGGGAGCCCCCUCUGCUGUGCCCCCAUUUCUCAUCCGAGUUUAUCCUGACGGGCUUAGUGGGAGCAAGUCCUGUUCCCCGCUCUGGAGAGACUCCUGCGUGGAGCACCGAUCCCCUGUUGUGGGAUUCAACCCACUUCCUCCUUCCCUUUGCAGAGGGAUGCAGAGCUCGGGGGUCCUGGAGACGGUCGUGGGGCCCCCUCUCCGUCCCUGUUCCUCCUCCUGUAACAGGAAGAGAGGCCCGGGUGCUGAUGAGGGACGCGUCUCUCCGUCCAGGCGGACACAGGCGGCGGGCCGCGUCCCCAGGGGAGUGCUGAGCUUCCUCCCACCCCUGCCAGCGUUCACAGCCCCGUGAGACGGACGCAUGAGCUGCCGGAACAGCAGGUUCUCUCCCCCUCUCCACUCUGGGGAUCCACACUCCAUCCCGCAGCCUGCGUUCACUGUGACCGCUGCUCACCCCCAGCCCGCAUCUGCUUCCCUCCCUGCACUCUCCAGACUCCUCUCCAGUACCACCGCCUCCGGGAAGCUUUCCGUGAUGCUCCAGGGUUUGCGACUCUGAUCAUGCUCUGACCUUAUGGGCGAUUAUGUCCUCUCCCCACCGCAGAGCCCUGGGGCUGUGGCCGGCCCACUGGCAAGGGGGUGGGGACCACCACAGCCUGCCGCAGGCCCCCACCAUGGGUAGAACAUCCUUUGACUGAGGGAAGCUGCGGGCUGACCAACCCACGGAGAGCAGGACCCGUGAGCCCAGCCAGCCCCUUCAUCUAUUUAACAGGCCAUAUAAAUCAUGUAACAUUUUAUAAAUCAUAUAAAUCAUGUUUUUAUGAAGCAUGAAAAUCACCUGUAAAGAUACCACCUGUGGAUGGAGGCAGCCCGCAGGGAAACCUCGAGCAUUCCAGGACGGAUGCACGGUCCCCGCCCCGCGCCCUGGCCCUGGCCCUGCCCGCGUGCCCGCACAACCUUCCCCAAAGGGAGAAAAGCAAGAGGCGUUCCCGGAGUGAGGGCGUGGGCUUGGGGGGGGACAGCACAGCGAGGAUCCCGGAUCCGCCCCUGCUGCCUGAGAUUUCGGAGCAAGACGCUCGUCAUCUGAGACUCCAGAAGCCCGAGGUGAGGACUCUCAGCCUUCGCUGUCUCUGGGGGCUCCCCGGGAACUCGGGGUGUUCCCCAGCAGCGUUUCUGAAAAGCUGGGAGACUCUGAGCAGAGGCCUUCCCUGGAGAGAUGAGGGAAAGGCCCUGGAUUUGGGGGCAGAGUGUCCCCUGGCCCCCUCUGCUCUUUCCAAGACUGCGUCCUCCUCCAUUCACGGCUCUGGAAGCCUUCAGUGUGGCUUGGGCAAUGGGCAGUGUGCACAGAGUCCAUCACUGGACACGCCCCCUUCUCCCCAAUAAGGCCUCCGCUUCUACAGGUAAUCUGGAAAGAGUGAACGUGCUAGUGGGUCGUGGGGGGGGCUUCUCAGCGGUGCCGUGGCCAUGGGAGCCCAGGGAGGCCGUGGGAAGUGCUGUGUGUCUGCAUGUCGAGCGCCGUGGGCUGGAUGUGUGCAUCCCCCCAAAUUCACGUGUUGGUGGUGGGGCCCUUGGGGGAAAGAUGGGUCAGGAGGGGGAGCCCCUACGAUGGGAUUAGGGCCAUGGGAAAGACCCCGGUGACGCCCUUCCUCCACGAGAGGACACAGGAACAGGGAAAGGAUCCCCACCUGACACCGAGCCUGCAGGACCCGGAUCUUGACGUCUGGCCCCCAGAACCGGGAGAGAUGAGUGUUUGCUGUUUACAAGCCCCAGUGGCCGGCAGGGACCGGGCGGGCAUUGUCACGGCCACGCUGACCCAACGUUCUUGACGUGCCGGCAGGUGGAGGGUGGUUCAGGCAAGGACAGGGGGCUGGCAGAGAAACUGCCUUGGCCGGGUGCGCCAGGCCCACGUGCCCCCCGAGGGGGUCCCAUUUCUGCAGCCCAUCUGCAGACAGUGAAAUCUUAAUCUCACCACGAGGAAGCCCCAGACAGACCCAAACGGAGGACAGUCUACGAAUCCCCGGCCAGCGCCCUUCCGAAGUGCCCGAGUGGUGGCAGGUGGAUUGAGGGCCGUCCCAGAUCAGAGCAGCAGGUGUGGGUGGGUCUUCAGCGGGCGGCGGAAACGUCCGAGCGCACCUGUGGAUCAGUCCCUAGAGCAUCCCUGUCACAGCUCCUUCCCCGGCUCGGAUCCCGAUGCCCCGGGCACACGACCUGUGUCGUGUGAGACUGCAGGUGGAAGGGAAUUCUGCCUCUUCUGCAGCUUCUUUGUAGAUCCAAAAUUACUCCAAAAUUGUAAACUAUUCUAACGCUAAGGAGAGAGAAGACAGAGAUUCCAGCAAGGAGAAGCAGGAGGCCACGCGCCAGGAUGGCCCCUUUCCUAGCCCCGUGGGGCCCGGGGCUUAGAGGGAAGGGAGGUCCCCGCUUUCCUGCUUUCCUCCCAAAUCAGAGCCUAAACUCUCCCAAGCCGCAGUCUCCGCGAGCCUUACGUGAGCCUCCCCAGGUGAUGCAGCCCAGGCAGAAAGCUGCAAAUCUGCUCCAGGCCCCACCAGCCCCACCAGAAGCGUCCUCCAGUCCCCAGGGCCAACCCAAGGCGCUGGCCUGCCCGAUGGGACGGAUGACCCACCCUCUCCCUCCAUGCAUCGUCUGCCCACGCACCCCUGGGGCUCAGUCCCCAACACUCAACAUCUCGCUGUUUGGGGGCCCUUUGCUACCAACAACAAAAAUCUUGGGGAGCCUGGGAGGCUCAGCUGUUUAAGCAUCCGACUCUUGGUUUUGGCUCAGGUCGUGCUCUUAGGGUCGUGAGCUGGAGCCCCACGGCGGGCUCAGUGGGGAGUCCGCUGGAGACUCUCCCUCUCCCUCUGCCCUCCCCCGCUCUGCAUACUUGCUCUCUCUAAAUAAAUAAAUUAAAUUAAAUCUUUUGAAAAAUCUCUUGGAUUCCCGCAGAAUUACAGUCAAUCCUUUGGUACCCGUCCUCUGAGGAAAUACAUACUCGCAAAAAUAAAAGCAAAUGCAUUGACCUUUUAAGAAUAAAACUCUAUUUUGCCCAUCGCCACAGACUAGGUACGUGUUUGGGGGAACGUGUCGUGUGUCGCUCUGCAGGAAGCUUGGGCUCCCAGGACUCACCGGGGAACGCAUCCCUCGUUUGCGGGAGGACAGCCCCACCCGACCAGCACCCCCAGCCUGAGAGCCCCCCAGACCUCAGGACCCCCAGCCCAGGCACAGCCUGGUCACACUGCAGUCUGGGGCGGGGGGAGAGUGUGCACCCCACACACUUAUCAAAAUAUCCCCCCACAUUUCAAACCCGGGGGACUGUACAUAAAGCUCUACUUUGUUUCCAUCUGCCUCUAAACCCUGAGGCGGGCUGGUCAGAAUCAGAUCUUCUGGCUGCACAGAAACGCGGGGGGUCGCAAGACAAACAGCCCGUUUUUACUUAAAAUAUUGACAUUUUGUUCAUUAUGGAUUUUUUGCAUUAAAAUUGCAUUGAAAUAUUAUUUUCAUUAUUGGUGGGUUUUUGGGGGGUGACCUCUUGAAAUUUCGUUCUGGGCAUGAGUGCCCCCCUUGGCCAGCGCUGGCCAGCCCUCCACGUCCCUCCCGGGCAGGGGUGACGAGCAGAGCUGUGCUGGACACCUGCACAAUGUCCCAUUGACGCUGUCUGCUUGAUCUGAAGAGGCUCGCCAUGGGGGAGGGCGGGGGGCCCACACCUCCCUGUCCCUCUUUGGUUUAGGCCGGGGCUCAACAGACUUUUCCUGCAAAGAGGCAGAAGAUAAGUAUUUGAGGCCUUGAGGACCAUUCGGUCUUUGUCACAACCACCAGACUCGUAGCCCAAACGCAGCCGUACCCAAUACGUAAAUGAACAGGUGCGGCUGAGCCCCAAUCCCACUUUAUCUACAAAACAGGGGCCACAGGCCGAGUCUGUCAAGCCCUGGCCUGGGUCAUGAGCACCUGCGCCUCCAAGAGGAUCUCCUUCUCUAACAUAGAAGUCCCUUUUUUUAAAAGAUUUUUAUUUAGUUAUUUGAGAGGGAGGAAGAGAGCACAAGCAGGGGGAGCGGCAGAGGGAGAAGCAGGCUCCCCGCUGAGCAGGGAGCCCGACGGGGGACUCGAUCCCAGGACCCCGAGAUCAUGACCUGGGCCAAGGGCAGACGCUUAACCUACUGAGCCACCCAGGCGCCCCCAUAGAAGUCCUUUUUAUGCAAAGCAAGAAUUCACUUUCCUAUAAUAUUCAUCUUAAAUACAUUAGCACCUUAAUCACCUUUAACGGGUACAGAACAUCCCAUUCACUGUGUGUGUGUGAUGGUUAAACAUACAUCUAUGCACAUUUAAUGUAUGUGAUGGCGAAAUCAGUAACAUCUACCAUGGUUAAUUGUACGAAGGUGUGUAUUACUCAACCAUUAUUUAUUCUUUUAUUUGUCACUAUUAGCCGUCCCUGUAGCAGGCACCCUGCUGGGGCCUGGAGAUGCCACGAGUAACAGUGAAUGAGGUGAGUGACACAGGGAGGGCACGGUCCCACGACCGCCCUUCCUGGUCCAGCCACGGUCAGCCCGUGUCCCCCAGUCUCUGGGACAGUUGUUCCCACCUGCGCCCGAGUGGAAUGUACCAGACGCGAGUCCCAGGUUUGGGUUCUGAAACCGGGGUCGUGUGAUGGUAAAUGACAGGAUGACGGGUCCACUGACAGUCGACAAACUCCCCUCUCAUUCCCGGUAAUGUCCCUCGGACAGACCCCGGGGGUGGGGUCGCUGCUCCAGAGGGGGUGAGCCUUCUGAUGACUCUUGAUCCGUGUCGUCAAAUUGUUCUCCAGAGGGCUUACGCCCGACUGACGCGCCCCCGCCCGCAAUGUGUGGGCACCACGGUUGUAACAUAACUGUGCCCCUUCUGGGUGUGAUCAUUCUACUUCCGAACGUGGGCUAAUUUAAUAGGUGUAAGAUUGAAUCUCAUUUUAAUUUGCGUUUCUUUUUUUUUAUUCUUAUGUUAAUCGCCAUACAUUACAUCAUUAGUUCUAGAUGUAGUGUUCCAUGAUUCAUUGUUUGUGCAUAACACCCAGUGCUCCAUGCAGAACGUGCCCUCCUCAGUACCCACCACCAGGCUAACCCAUCCUCCCACCCCCCUCCCCUCUAGAACCCUGUUUGUUUCUCAGAGUCCAUCGUCUCUCAUGGUUGGUCUCCCCCUCUGAUUUCCCCUGCUUCAUUCUUCCCUUCCUGCUACCUUCUUCUUCUUUUUUUUUCCUUAACAUAUAUUGCAUUAUUUGUUUCAGAGGUACAGAUCUGAGAUUCAACAGUCUUGCACAAUUCACAGCGCUUACCAGAGCACAUACCCUCCCCAGUGUCUAUCACCCGGUCACCCCAUCCCUCCCACCCCACCCCCCACUCCAGCAACCCUCAGUUUGUUUCCUGCAAUUAAGAAUUCCUCAUAUCAGUGAGAUCAUAUGAUACAUGUCUUUCUCUGUUUGACUUAUUUCACUCAACAUAAUACCCUCCAGUUCCAUCCACGUCGUCGCAAAUGGCAAGAUCUCAUUCCUUUUGAUGGCUGCAUAAUAUUCCACUGUGUAAAUAUACCACAUCUUCUUUAUCUAUUCAUCUGUCGAUGGACAUCUUGGCUCUUUCCACAGUUUGGCUAUUGUGGACAUUGCUGCUAUAAACAUCGGGGUGCACGUACCCCUUCGGAUCCCUACUUUUGUAUCUUUGGGGUAAAUACCCAGUAGUUAAUUUGCGUUUCUUUAAUCGUUACAAAGGUUGAACGCUUUCUCCAAUAAACACGCACUUGGGUUUGCUCCCUUCAUUGCUCCGUUCAUGUAAAGCACGACACGUUAACCCCGUACCACCUGCCAGACGCCGAACGCAGGGCUGAAGACCCAGGGACACACAGACGCCAUCCUUGCCUUCAAGGAUCUCGCGUCCAGUGAGGAAAGCAGAGUGAACGGACAGUCCCAAUGCAGCAGAACGGAUCAUGCGCUGGAGAGAGGCCCAGAGCGCUCUCUCCAGGGGGGACAGGAGGGACCCAGGGAGGUGACCCAGAGGACAGCAUCCAACCCAGCCCGGGGGCUGAAGACGGUGCUUGGCCGCUGUGGAUCAGCCUUGCACAGCCCGGUGGGCAAACCAGAAGAGACGUCUCCUGCCUACGUACGUCUGCUCCUGCCUUUCCCUGCACCGUGUAAGUCUCCCUGCGUGUCUCACUGUGUGUACAUGCGUGCGCGCGUGCAUCUGCCCGGGGGGCUCGUGCUGUGCCUUUGGGUGUGGAGCUGGGCACCUGCAUGUCCUAGUGGUUCCAGGGGCCACGUGGGUGCAAACCUCCAUGCGCUGGGCGCCGGGCUGCUGGUUCUGUAGCUCGGAGUUUGGCAGAUGGACCGGGUGCCUGCAGGUGGAGGAACGGGGUGAUUUGCACGGACUGCUGCCAGGUGAUAGGGCCACCAGAGAGGCGUCCAGCCCUUUGCCCAGCUACCGUUGGCUGCAAUCCGCCCCCACCCACUGCAGGGCAGGGGGUGUCCCAGCCUCUCUGGUAGCCCUGUCAUCUGCAUCAGACAUAGCGUCUCCUCUGAAAUAUCAGUCUGUCUCCUGAAUGCCUGCUGAGCCAACCUUCCGUGCUUCUCAGAGGCCUCCCUGGGAUGGGGAACCCCAGGAGCAAGUAAGCUCAAUACAGCUCAUCCUCUGCCCCGAGACACUGGAGUCUAUGAGGUCGACCCCCUCAGGAAGGGCACCGGGGAGCACGGCCCAUGUGGGAAGGUCGUCACCCCUGUGUGUGCACUGCCCUCCCGGGCCUCCGAUCGCCCAUGGGGGGACAGCCCCAGAAGCACAAAGCCGAUGCUGCCCGCCUUGCCGGAGGGCUGGGCGUCCAGCCUCCCCCCGCCUGAAACGCCCCCAUUGAAUGCCUGUAUGUUCUGCGGCUUGAAGUGCGUCAACAGGCAAAUGCUUCCCUCCCCACUCCCAGGCCAGCACCCAACCCCAGACGUCGACGCUCUUAGCACGUUGAGGUUGAUCGGGAUAAAAUCCACACGCCGUACGGCACGCCUACAUUAGAGCACAGGUCAGCGUUUCCUGGCACGUUCACAGACUCUGUGACCGGAGUCAGAACGCCGUCGUCGCGCCUUGCUGUCUGCAACUUACUCUCUUCCACGCUACGUACUGGAAAUCUUUCCAUAUUAGCACACACACCUAUAUUACUCUGCAGUGGGUAGGAAUUUUCCUUCGAAUUGUCACCAUCAUGGCGCUUUCAUGCGAACAUCCCUGGAUAUGUACCUCUGAGUACGUGCGGGGCAGAUUUCCUGGAAGUGCAACUGCACGUUCAGAACUUCAGAGCACCGGAAACUGUGGUGAGACCUCCCAGAGCGACGUGCAGCGGGCCGGUAACAAUCUGCGGCACCGCUCAGACUUGCUGGGCCUUGACCCUGCUCCAGGAGCGGCCAGGUGGUGCUUCCCCGGGGCCCCAGGGUCACUCACCUACAGCAGCAUGCUGCAUCUGUUACGGCUCCCGAUUCAGAGGGCAGGCGGGCUCCGCUGGGCACGUCUGCCCCACGCGGUGUAGCCGGGGCCCCGCGUGUGCCUGCGUCCGGAGGAGUGGUCAAGUGGAGCCAGAAUGUCCAAGAUGACGUCCCGACCAGCGUCGGUGUGGAAGAGAGGAGACCAGAGCAUGCACACCGGAGGCAGGGGGCCCGGGGGGCUGCCAGGGCCAUGUCUGUCCACCACAGCCCCUCCUGGGAGAUGCCCCACCCUGACCCUAUCACACACUGGCCACUGACCACAAACAGUCUAGGUCCCCAUCUCAGGACGGUCGUGUCCAUGGGCUGCACCCGGGACCAAUUCUGCCCAGCCCCUCAGGAGUAGGUGAGGGUGAACAAUGAGAAUUUACGGAGAGAGAAGUCGAGGUUCAACCUGAUCAAGGAUUUUGCUGGAGGUGGCCAGAGAGGACGCAGGAGUGAUGUUCUUGUCAUGGGAGGCUGUUGGACGGUGAUUGCACACGAACAGCUCGGCCAGGCUCCACACCUGCAACAACACGCGGAGCCUCUUCUCCUCUCCACGCCGCUCCGAAUGCCAACAAGCAGGUGAGCUCCUGAUGCCGUAUUAGUAUGGGGUGAUUUUCAUUACUAAACGACUCCAGGGCUGUCCAAGUGAGGAGAGCAAUUAGGCCCAUCAGGGGAAGACAAAGCGUCCCUUGAGGAGCAUAACAUGACACAGGCGGAAUCGCUGUGGCCCGAGGAGGCCGUGAAAUCACCGCCCAGGGCUGCUCCGUGGUGGACACCAGCCAUGUGCAGUCCUCGGGCCCCACCGCCCGCCCUGGACGCCCGCCACGGCCCCCACAGCCUCAGCCCCAAAGGGCGGACACACCAGCCCUUCCGUGAAAUUAGAAGAAAUUGCGUAUCCAGUACUCCUUACCAAGAUGAGCAGUUACGGGGUGACUUUUCCAGGAAAAAUGUCAGUCCCUGAAGAGGAGUUUAACUGAGAAAGUCCAUGCCCCUUCCGCACAGUGACGGGAAUCCUCCCUGAUCUCUCUUCUGCCUCACACUCCAGCCGUCGGAUCCCACACGUUUGCCAAGACACUGUCAUGUGCGCAUCGGGGUGUUUGCAAACGCUGUUCCACCCACCUGGAACGCCCUUCCCUUCAGCCGCCAAAACCCACUCAGGUGUCUCUGCUGACACUUGGCCUCUCGGUCGAAGUCAGCCUCUGCUCUCAUUUGGGCUCUGCAGACACGCCUCCUCCACGGGCUGAGACUGUCCCCAGCAAAGUGCCGCAAACUGCCGUGCAUGGGCGGAGUCCAGCCCGCCCCCCUGUCUUUGUAAAUAAAGUUUUAUCGGGACACAGCUUACAUGUUGUCUGCCACUGCCUUCUCAGCAUGGAGCCAGGGUGCUUGCAAUGGGGACCCUGUAUGAAAAGCGUCUGCAUUCGGGUCCUUCGCAGAAAAGGUUUGUCAACGCCUGGCCCAGGGUGAGAGAGGCCGGACCCCCCACCAUACGGGGGGGACAUGGUCUUCAGCUGAGGUGAGAAAAAGUCACAGCAGCGGGACUGAGGCAGAACGGGGACCAAGUCCCCGGCCUCCUGUCCUCUUGGCAACACAUGGCCUCCCGGGGCCUGGGGUUGAUUGGCACUCCUUGCCUCCGGGGGACACCCCCCUGAUGUGGGGAGGAGAAAUGUGGGAAAUCCAGAGACCAGCCCAGAGAGCACCCCACGAAAGAAAGGAAGGUGGCCAGGCCCUGACCCUCGCCUGCCCAGGGAAGCCGGCCCCUGAACGGUCCGCGGUGAGCAGUGAGCACGCACACGGGACUGGAACCAGACAGUCGGGACUUGGGGGACAAGAGACUUAACCUCUCCAAGCCUCGACUUCCCCAUCGGUGCAAUGAGGAGGAAAAGCCGUUACCUUACAAAAUGACUCGCACGUGCUGGGGACAGGGCUGGGGCAAAGUGGGUUCUCGGGGGGAGCGUCCUCGUGGCGCUGAAUGGAAGGGAGGGCUCACGUCAGCUGGCUGUGCCGCCCGCCCUGAGCCCUGUGACCCGGUCCGCCGCCGGACAAGCCGGCCCCCAGCAGGUGGGACUGCCGACGCAUAGCCAGCGCCCUUCCUGGAUCUGAGGCUGACCGCCCCUCCCAGGCCCGGGGCGCGUCCCCGUGGGCGGAGAUUCCCCAGUUCAUGCACCUUGCUCUUGCAAGCCUGCAAGAACCAGGGGAGGCUUGCUUCUCGAGACCUUCCUCAGAUGCCCAGCAGUUUGCAGAUGGGAUGGCCUUUUCUCUACUAGAGUCCGAAUACACCUCAGUUUGAGUCCUGGGCCACCUGGCGCUCCCUGGGUGAACUUGAGCGAGCUAUUGACCUUCUCUGAGCCCCCAAGGCGCUCGUCUACGAAGCAGGGAGAUGCAACCAGGCGGGCUGGACGUUCUGAGGGGCAAGGGAACUCACGGAUGCCGCAGCCAGCCCUGAGGAGCCUCUGCCUUAUGGGCCCGGUUCAGCCCCCGCCCGCCUCUUCCCUCCACUUCUUCUUCAUCCCGUCUCCCCACCCCCCAGCCCACCUGUUCUUUGUCCCUUGGUUGCAAAUUCACUGCCUUUUUUUGAAGCUGAUCCAAUAUUUCUUAAUGUCCAGUUUUAUAUUCCCUACUGGAUUUUUAGCGAUACCUCCCUUUAUUGUGUGUUUUGGUAGUACGCUGGGGCCGACACGAGGCCCCCUCUGUCAAUCCUGGACGGCUCGGCACCUGCUCACGGUCCCUCCCCUGUGACCCCCGUUGCUUCUGAGAAGUCGAUGGCCGGUCUCGUCCCUGUUACCCCGUGUGCGUGUGUGGACCGUGCGGGGUUCCCUCCCCCUCUGGCUGCUUUUCAAGAUUCCCUUUGUGUUCAGUGUUAAGCCGCUUGACAACAAUGUGGGGACAUGUGAAUUUCUCCUUCUCCGGACGGUCUCACCUUCUUGGAACCUUUUCAAACAUCAAAUCUGGGGGUGGGGGGGGGAAUCAUUAGCUAUUUGUUUCUCCAAAUAUGAUUUCCGACUUAUUUCCUGGAUAGUCUCCCACGGAACCGUAGGCGUGUUAGACUGUUUGAUGUCGUCCCAUGAGCUUCUGAGGGUCUGCUCCCUUUUCCUCAAUCCUUUCCCUGCCUGCUGUCCCCAGAUUGGGUCAUUGCUGGUGGUUUAUGUUCAAAUUCACUUAUUUGUUCUCCUGACACCUCUAAUGUGCUAUGAAGUCCAUCCUGUGAAUUCUCUACUUCAACCGUGAUACUUUUUGGUUCUAGAAUUUGCAUUUGGUUCCUUUUUGUUCCUGUCCCUCUGCAGACAUUCUCUGUCUGUUGACUCAGCGUGACUUUGGUCUUUCGAGCAUAUUUAUAUAACUGCUUUGAAGGUUUUACUUUUAGGGGCGACUGGGUGGCUCAGUCGUUAAGCGUCUGCCUUCAGCUCAGGUCAUGAUCCCAGGGUCCUGGGAUCGAGCCCCGCAUCGGGCUCCCUGCUCAGCGGGAGGCCUGCUUCUCCCUCUCCCACUCCCCCUGCUUGUGUUCCCU